rnacentral:rRNA from 1 species
AUUGAACGCUGGCGGCAGGCCUAACACAUGCAAGUCGAGCGGUAGCACAGAGAGCUUGCUCUCGGGUGACGAGCGGCGGACGGGUGAGUAAUGUCUGGGAAACUGCCCGAUGGAGGGGGAUAACUACUGGAAACGGUAGCUAAUACCGCAUAACGUCGCAAGACCAAAGAGGGGGACCUUCGGGCCUCUUGCCAUCGGAUGUGCCCAGAUGGGAUUAGCUAGUAGGUGGGGUAACGGCUCACCUAGGCGACGAUCCCUAGCUGGUCUGAGAGGAUGACCAGCCACACUGGAACUGAGACACGGUCCAGACUCCUACGGGAGGCAGCAGUGGGGAAUAUUGCACAAUGGGCGCAAGCCUGAUGCGGCCAUGCCGCGUGUAUGAAGAAGGCCUUCGGGUUGUAAAGUACUUUCAGCGGGGAGGAAGGUGUUGAGGUUAAUAACCUCAGCAAUUGACGUUACCCGCAGAAGAAGCACCGGCUAACUCCGUGCCAGCCGCCGCGGUAA